rnacentral:lncRNA from 1 species
AGACCCGGCUUUUUCGACGCCGAGCUGCCGCCCAGCCCCAAUGGCAGGGCCUUCCAGGGAGUCCCAGUCAGACUGCUCCCCAGCUCCCGCAGCUGCUCGGUCCCUGCAAAGCCCCCGGGAGCGUUUCUACUCUCCCCUGAGCCCACGCCAUCCCGUCACUCCUAGGAAACUUUUCGCGCAGAAACUCCUGGAGAACAGCCCCGGCCGCCAGGAAAGAAGCGUACCCAGGCCGUCUGCUGUGUGCCCACCCCGAUCCCCAUCAGUGCCCCACGCACUCGAGCUCUUCUUCGGCGUCUGCAGCCUCUUCAUCCGCGCGGAGAGGCGGAGGUCUCCCGGAAACAGUGUCCGACUGUGGCACCCCAGAGCGUCCAAUGCGAGCUCAGGCCUUUCCCGCAAGUCUGGAGUUUUCUUAUCCAGUUGAGGCCGCCUUCGCUGUACUCACUCUCUGCCUCCCACCCCAUCUUCUGCCACCCGACCUCCAUCUUUGAUGGUUAGCGCCUUCAGCCCUCAACAGCUUCGCACAACCAACCCCUAGAAGCCGUGGAGUCAGACCGGCCA